AUGGGCUCGCGUCUGAUUAGCUAGUUGGUGGGGUAGAAGCCUACCAAGGCGACGAUCAGUAGCCGGACUGAGAGGUUGAACGGCCACAUUGGGACUGAGAUACGGCCCAGACUCCUACGGGAGGCAGCAGUCGGGAAUAUUGCGCAAUGGAGGGAACUCUGACGCAGUGACGCCGCGUAUAGGAAGAAGGUUUUCGGAUUGUAAACUAUUGUCGUUAGGGAAGAAAAAAGACAGUACCUAAGGAGGAAGCCCCGGCUAAUUAUGUGCCAGCAGCCGCGGUAAUACAUAGGGGGCAAGCGUUAUCCGGAAUUAUUGGGCGUAAAGGGUGCGUAGACGGGUGUUUAACUUGGUUGUGAAAUCCCUCGGCUCAACUGAGGAACUGCAACCAAAACUGGAUAUCUUGAGUGUCGGAGAGGAAAGUGGAAUUCCUAGUGUAGCGGUGAAAUGCGUAGAUAUUAGGAGGAACACCAGUGGCGAAGGCGACUUUCUGGACGAUAACUGACGUUGAGGCACGAAAGUGUGGGGAGCAAACAGGAUUAGAUACCCUGGUAGUCCACACUGUAAACGAUGGAUACUAGGUGUAGGGUGUAUUAAACAUUCUGUGCCGCCGCAAACGCAUUAAGUAUCCCCCCUGGGGAGUACGACCGCAAGGUUGAAACUCAAAGGAAUUGACGGGGGCCCGCCCAAGCAGUGGAGUAUGUGGUUUAAUUCGAAGCAACGCGAAGACCCUUACCAGGGCUUGACAUAUACAGGAAUAAGUAAGAGAUUACUUAGCUCUUCGGAGUCUGUAUACAGGUGGUGCAUGGUUGUCGUCAGCUCGUGUCGUGAGAUGUUGGGUUAAGUCCCGCAACGAGCGCAACCCCUGUCCUUAGUUGCCAGCACGUAAAGGUGGGAAUUUUAAGGAGACUGCCGGUGAUAAAUCGGAGGAAGGUGGGGAGGACGUCAAAUCAUCAUGCCCUUUAUGUCCUGGGCUACACACGUACUACAAUGGCCGUGACAGAGAGAAACGAAGUAGUGAUGCAGAGUAAAACUCAAAAAACGGUCUCAGUUCGGAUUGAAGGCUGAAAUUCGCCUUCAUGAAGCUGGAAUUGCUAGUAAUGGCAGGUCAGCAUACUGCCGUGAAUACGUUCCUCGGGCCUUGCAC
rnacentral:rRNA from 1 species